UGGGAGAUGUUUAAAAGCAUAUAAACUGCUUCAUGUGAUCUCAUUAGGAGCUAAAAAAAUAUUUGGGGAUUUUCAUCUUACCAACAGCUCUCUGUAGUCCAGUCCACAUUUCCGCCUGAAGGCAGCAUCUUGAAGCUACUCACCAACAUUUUACAAGUUGGCUUGAUUGAGACAACGUUUAAAAUCAUGUCCUGGAGCUUUCACUGGCUUUUGAGGUCAGUCUAAUAAAAGAUAAACCUCGAGUGCCUGAAAGUGAACAGUGGCACUAACGCUGGAGCAUAUGGAAGUAUCACUUUGCUGUGGGAUGCUCGCAGCCAACAUGUGAAGUUUCUACAUGACUGUCUUCAAAAAAUGGAGCCAGAAACCUACAGAGACGCAGAGAGAGCCUGUGCAAGUGGAUGAAACGUGACAGAUUGAGAGUGAGAAAGGAAGAGUGUUGGGUGAAUAAAAGACACCAAAUAGCUCUUUGCAGGGACGAGUGUCUGCAGACGUGAGUGCCCUCAGACUACUGCUUUUACCCAAUAAUACAACCCAGGCCUCAGCAACGCAGAGAGAUGGGUAAAAGUGCAAUAUGCCAGUCCAGUUACACUUUGUAAUUCUUCAAUGGGAAAGACAUUCACUUUAAACAAGCACAGAGUGGUGUUAUUAAA